AUUUCAUUUGUUUCAGCCACAUCUACAUCUUAGCCAGUGCAAAGAGGAUUUGAAUGCUACUUACUUGCCAUACAAAUCAUUAUUCUCUUAUUCAAAGAGAGCCAAUUGUUGAUACCAGCUAGCUCUACUAAUACCCACAAAGUAAGUCAUUUACUAUCAUUACUAUUUUUUAGUGCUAGGUAUUUCGAGACUGAAUGAAAUGCC